rnacentral:rRNA from 1 species
AUUGAACGCUGGCGGCAGGCCUAACACAUGCAAGUCGAACGGUAACAGGAAGCAGCUUGCUGCUUCGCUGACGAGUGGCGGACGGGUGAGUAAUGUCUGGGAAGCUGCCUGAUGGAGGGGGAUAACUACUGGAAACGGUAGCUAAUACCGCAUAAUGUCGCAAGACCAAAGAGGGGGACCUUCGGGCCUCUUGCCAUCGGAUGUGCCCAGAUGGGAUUAGCUUGUUGGUGGGGUAACGGCUCACCAAGGCGACGAUCCCUAGCUGGUCUGAGAGGAUGACCAGCCACACUGGAACUGAGACACGGUCCAGACUCCUACGGGAGGCAGCAGUGGGGAAUAUUGCACAAUGGGCGCAAGCCUGAUGCAGCCAUGCCGCGUGUAUGAAGAAGGCCUUCGGGUUGUAAAGUACUUUCAGCGGGGAGGAAGGGAGUAAAGUUAAUACCUUUGCUCAUUGACGUUACCCGCAGAAGAAGCACCGGCUAACUCCGUA